AAUCCAUGGUGAGGACAAGAUCUCAUCAGUUCCUUAUAUCACUCUCAUGCUUCAAAAAGAGAUUCAUUGUCCAUCUUCCUGAAGCAGGUAAUUUAAUUCUUUAACU